AGCAGGCUUGACGGUCGCGGGCGGCAACGAAAGGACCCGUCUGAGGAAAGUCCGGGCUCCGCAGGGCAAGGGUGCCGGGUAAUACCCGGUGAAGGCGACUUCCAGGAAAGUGCAACAGAAAAUAACCGCCCGUUUUCGGGUAAGGAUGAAAAGGCGAGGUAAGAGCUCACCGGCAUUGCGGUAACGUGAUGGCCGUGUAAACCCCACCCGGAGCAACACCGUUAUGAGCCAAAAGGCUGACCCGGCCGGCUUGAGGUGGCUUUGAUCCCGGCAGUAAUGUCGGGGCUAGAUAGAUGACCGUCCAUAAAGACAGAACCCGGCUUAUUGCCUGCU
rnacentral:RNase_P_RNA from 1 species